AUUAAUGCAUUAAGAGGAUGUCUAUACAUUAAAAUUUAAUCGGACGUUUUAAAAACGAAAUUUUAUAACCUAGUAUUAUAACGAUUAACGUUAUAAUUUUCCGAAAAUGGUAAACCAAUCUUUAUUGAAAUAAGAUAUUAUUAUUUAAUUAUAUUUAAUAAUUUUUUUUAGUGAAUUGAAUCAUCUUAGUAACUAAAAAUAGAACAAAUCAACCGAGAUGUUGUAAGUAGUGGCGAACGAAAACAAUUUUAGACUUUAUUAAAAUUAUAUUUAAAUUUAUUUAAUAUUAUAAAACUAAAAGCCAAAGAAGGUGACUUUAAUUAUGAAAAUAGCCCUGUAAAAUAAAUUAUUUUAAAAUAUUUUAAUAUUAAGUAAAACGAUGUAUUUACUUCGUUUGAAUAAUGGGGAACCACCCUCAAAGUCUCUGUUUAAUUUUAAUGCUUGAUAGUGUAUAAGUACCGUGAGGGAAAGAUGAAAAAGAAUUUUUGAAUAUGAAAAGAACCUGAAACUUAAUGCUAACAAUCUGUUGAAGCUUAUAAAAAGUAACAGCGUACCUUUUGCAUAAUGGAUCAAUGAGUUUAUUUUAAUGGCAAGCUUAAGUUAAUAAAUGUAGGCGUAAAGAAAUUAAAUUUAAAAAUGUUAAUUGAAGUCUUUAGAAUAAAACCCGAAACUAAGUGAUCUAACCAUGAACAGGUUGAAUUUAUAGCGGAAACGCUUAUUGGAGGACCGAACCCGUGUCUGUGGAAAAAUACUGGGAUGAUUUGUGGUUAGGGGUGAAAGGCCAAUCAAACUUAGAGAUAGCUGGUUUUCUGCGAAAUCUAUUUAAGUAGAGUAUUUAAAAACUUUAUUUUGAGGUAGAGCACUCGAUAAGUAAGGGGAAUGUAACGUUUUACUGAAUUUAAUGAAACUCCGAAUACAAAAUAAAAGAUUUUAAAUAAACAGACUAUGGAUGCUAAGGUCCUUAGUCAAGAGGGAAACAGCCCAGACUAUUUGUUAAGGUCCUUAAAAAUAAUUAAGUGAAAAAGAAAGUAAUUAAAUGUAGACAAUCGGUAGGUAGGCUUGGAAGCAGCCAUCCUUUAAAGAAAGCGUAACAGCUCACUGAUUUAGUUUUUUUGCAUCUAAAAUGUAUUGGGGCUAAAAUUAUUUACCGAAACAAUAGAUUUAAUAAUAAUAUAUAAUUAUUAAAUGGUAGCAGAACGUUCUGUAUAUUUAUAAAGAUUUAUGGUGACAUAAAUUGAAAAAAUCAGAAGUGAAAAUAUUGAUAUGAGUAACGAUAAACAAUGUGAAAAACAUUGUCGCCUUAAGUUCAAGGUUUCCAAAAAAAGGUUAAUCCUUUUUGGUUUUUAAACAUUAACAAAAUGUUUAAGUUUAAAUCGGUCCCUAAGAAAAAAAACGAAAGUUUUGUAUAUAUUUUAAUGGGUAAUAAUUUAUUUUUAAUAAUUUAUUUUGAAGUGACAAAACAUAAAUCUAAUUUAUAGUUCUACUGAUAACUAUAAGUUUUUUAGUGUUUUCAAGAAAUAGCUCGAAAUGAAUAAAAACCGUACCGUAAACCGACACAGGUGAACUAAUUUAGUAAAUUAAGGCGCUUGAGUUAAUUGUAUUGAAGGAACUCGGCAAAAUGACUCUGUAACUUCGGGAUAAAGAGUAGUUUUUUUUGAGAAAUCUUAAAAAACUGUCACAAAAUCGGGGACAGCGACUGUUUAAUAAAAACACAAGUCUCUGCAAAUUCGUAAGAAGAGGUAUAGAGACUGACGCCUGCCCGGUGCUGCAAGACUAAUGUGAGAAGUUUUGGCUUUAAACAAAAAUCCCAGUAAACGGCGGCUGUAACUCUGACGGUCCUAAGGUAGCGAAAUUCCUUGGCAUUUGAUUGGUGUCCUGCAUGAAUGGCGUAACGACUGUCCUACUGUCUCCAAUACAAUCUCAGUGAAAUUGAAAUCUCCGUGAAGAUGCGGAGUAUUUGCGGCUAGACGGAAAGACCCCGUGCACCUUUACUAUAACUAAAUAUUGUAAUGAUAUUUUUUAUGUAUAGAAUAAAUGGGAAGUUGAUAAUAGAUUUUUACGUAAGUAAAUUAUUUAAACGUUAGUGAAAUACCAUUCUUAAAAAAUAUUUUUACUAAUUAAUUAAUACAUUAUUUAGCGGGUAGUUUGACUGGGGCGGUCGCCUCCUAAAAGGUAACGGAGGCGCACAUAAGGUAAGUUCAAAUUGACAAAUUUUCAAUUUUAGAGCGUAAUAGUAUAUUGCUUGCUUGACUGUAAGAUUAACAAAUCAAACAGGGACGAAAGUCGGUUAUAGUGAUCCGGUGAUUCUGUGUGGAAAGAUCAUCGCUCAACGAAUAAAAGGUACGCCGGGGAUAACAGGCUAAUCAUUCUCUAGAGACCCUAUCGACGGAAUGGUUUGGCACCUCGAUGUUGGAUUAUCGCAUCCUGGAAUUGUAAAAGGUUCCAAGGGUUUGGCUGUUCGCCAAGUAAUGCGGUACAUGAUCUGAGUUUAGAACGUCGUGAGACAGUUUGGUCCCUAUCUACCGCAAAUAAUAAAAAUUGAAAGGAUUAGACUCUAGUACGAGAGGACCGAGAAAAAUAAAUCCAUGGUGGAUCGGUUGUUUUAUCAAAAGCAUAGCCGAGUAGCUAAAUUUAUAAUAGAUAAUUGCUGAAAGCAUUUAAGCAAGAAACUAGCCUUAAAACAUAUUUUUUUAAGAACGUAACAGACUAUUACGUAAAUAGGCUCAAUGUGUAUAAAUUGUGAGAUUUGUAGCUUUUGAGUACUAAUAUAUUUUCUCUAAAAAGACUUUUU
rnacentral:rRNA from 1 species